rnacentral:misc_RNA from 1 species
CUAUCAUAUUUCGCCAGCCACUGGACUAAAAAGUAAUAGACACCCUCAACUUGCAACUGUUACAAUCCACAGCUCCGUGAUGCGUCACAUAAUCACUCUUUAUUUCAGUUUCAACUUUUCUUACGCAAUUACUAAUUUGAAGGGGAAAAGAAAUAAUGCUCAGUUGAGCUCUGACUGUUUCAACAACAUACAAAAGAUCAAGCACCAUUCACCAACCAACAAAUAAGACACCAGUGGCCCAUUCAACAGCCCUCUGUCAGGUUGCUAAAGCCCUGUAGUUCCAGAAAUCAGACAAUGCCUAGGCACCACUAACUAUUUAGAAAUAAAAAAAU